UACAGAGGUCCCGAGCGUUGUUCGGAUUCAUUGGGCGUAAAGCGCACGUAGGCGGCAUUGCAAGUCGGAUGUGAAAUCUUAUGGCUUAACCAUAAAAGUGCAUCCGAAACUGCAGUGCUUGAGUACUUAAGAGGAUCGCGGAAUUCCCGGUGUAGAGGUGAAAUUCGUAGAUAUCGGGAGGAACACCAGUGGCGAAGGCGGCGAUCUGGGAAGAUACUGACGCUGAGGUGCGAAAGCGUGGGGAGCAAACAGG
rnacentral:rRNA from 1 species